rnacentral:rRNA from 1 species
UUCGGAUUGGAGUCUGCAACUCGACUCCAUGAAGCUGGAUUCGCUAGUAAUCGCGCAUCAGCCAUGGCGCGGUGAAUACGUUCCCGGGUCUUGUACACACCGCCCGUCACACCAUGGGAGUUGGAAAUGCCCGAAGUCGGUGACCUAACCGAAAGGGAGGAGCCGCCGAAGGCAGGUCUGAUAACUGGGGUGAAGUCGUAACAAGGUACC